rnacentral:rRNA from 1 species
GGGGAGUACGACCGCAAGGUUGAAACUCAAAGGAAUUGACGGGGACCCGCACAAGCGGUGGAGCAUGUGGUUUAAUUCGAACCAACGCGAAGAACCUUACCAAGUCUUGACAUCCUUUGACCACUCUAGAGAUAGAGCAUUCCCUUCGGGGACAAAGAGACAGGUGGUGCAUGGUUGUCGUCAGCUCGUGUCGUGAGAUGUUGGGUUAAGUCCCGCAACGAGCGCAACCCUUAUUACUAGUUGCCAGCAUUGAGUUGGGCACUCUAGUGAGACUGCCGGUGACAAACCGGAGGAAGGUGGGGAUGACGUCAAAUCAUCAUGCCCCUUAUGACUUGGGCUACACACGUGCUACAAUGGAUGGUACAACGAGCAGCGAACUCGCGAGGGUAAGCGAAUCUCUUAAAGCCAUUCUCAGUUCGGAUUGUAGGCUGCAACUCGCCUACAUGAAGCCGGAAUCGCUAGUAAUCGCGGAUCAGCACGCCGCGGUGAAUACGUUCCCGGGUCUUGUACACACCGCCCGUCACACCACGAGAGUUUGUAACACCCAAAGUCGGUGAGGUAACCUUACGGAGCCAGCCGCCUAAG